CUUCCAUCAGCUCAGGCAGAUUUCUAAGCAGCAAAUCAGCCUCUGCCAGAACACUGCAGGACACCAGUGCAGCGCCCAGCCUGCGACCAUGAGGCUCUAGGGGAUGGUAGAGUCACAGGAUGGAAGAACUCUGUGUCCUUGAAUCAUUGCAUGGAAGAGAACUGGAUGUUUCCCAGGAACACCAGCCUUGGACAGUUAUGUGAACAAGAAAUAAACUUCUUUUACAGUGUCA
rnacentral:antisense_RNA from 1 species